UCCGCAUUAGUGUAGGGGUUAACAUACUCCGCUUUCACAGAAGAGUCCCGGAGAGCCCCGGGUUCGAUUCCCGGAUGCGGAA
rfam:Blumeria graminis f. sp. hordei DH14, WGS project CATH01000000 data, contig: 004024